AGCAGCAGCCGCGGUAAUACGUAGGGUGCGAGCGUUAAUCGGAAUUACUGGGCGUAAAGCGUGCGCAGGCGGUUAUAUAAGACAGUUGUGAAAUCUCCGGGCUCAACCUGGGAACUGCAUCUGUGACUGUAUAGCUAGAGUACGGUAUAGGGGGAUGGAAUUCCGCGUGUAGCAGUGAAAUGCGUAGAUAUGCGGAGGAACACCGAUGGCGAAGGCAAUCCCCUGGACCUGUACUGACGCUCAUGCACGAAAGCGUGGGGAGCAAACAGGAUUAGAUACCCGAGUAGUCCCUGUCUCUUAUAA
rnacentral:rRNA from 1 species